UACGAAGGGGGCUAGCGUUGUUCGGAAUUACUGGGCGUAAAGCGCGUGUAGGCGGCCCUGCAAGUCGGAUGUGAAAUCCCACGGCUCAACCGUGGAAGUGCAUUCGAAACUGCAGGGCUAGAGUCCUGGAGAGGAAGGUGGAAUGCUUGGUGUAGAGGUGAAAUUCGUAGAUAUCAAGCGGAACACCGGUGGCGAAGGCGGCCUUCUGGACAGUGACUGACGCUGAGACGCGAAAGCGUGGGGAGCAAACAGGG
rnacentral:rRNA from 1 species